UUCCUAACAUUUCUCUCCAGGCUCCUUUUGCUUCUCUCCGAUUCUCUUGUCAUUACAGAUGAAGGCUUCAUUAGCGAUAUACUGUAUUCCAUGUUUAUUAUACUAGUCUGUCCGAAGAGCUCCUACUUUUUAAUGUAAUCUUCAUCCCUUAGGCAGCAGCUCUAGCCCAUUUCCUCUCAUUCAACCCUUCAAGAAGAGGCAAGAUUGCUACCACUUUUCCCCACAAAGUGACGAAAGGAAACAGCGACGGAGGCGCAACCGAACCCAGGAAUCGGUGUCUCGACUGGUCCAUUCCCGGCCCACCCCUAUUAACCGGCUCGAGCCAUUCCCUGGACGAAGUCAAGGCCUCGGAAGGCGACUACAACUCCCAGCAGGUCGAGCAGCUCCGCCCGCGCUGAUUCUCCAUUGGCCUUCCGGGGGUGGGGAUUAGAUGGGAGGUGGCCUUGGGGCUGCGGCCGGGAUUUGUCCCCUCUUCGGCUUCCGUAGAGGAAGUGGCGCGGACCUUCAUUUGGGGUUUCGGUUCCCCCCCUUCCCCUUCCCCGGGGUCUGGGGGUGACAUUGCACCGCGCCCCUCGUGGGGUCGCG
rnacentral:sRNA from 1 species